GAGUCCUCCUGUUGCUGCUUGAGGGAGCAGCUUAUUGCAAAUUCUCUGGCGCACUUUGCGGGAAGUGAAUGUUGAGUAACUGUCCUAACUGGUGCUGUAUGACAUUGACCCAUAAUACUUUGUCACUUUUAGUUCCACGCUACUCGAGACACUGUGCAGGAGAGGAGCGCUAAUUCCAUGUAUGGUUAAACAAGUGAGGGUGAAGGUGAUGUAUAGCAAAAAGCGUGUGUGUGUGUGUGUGUGUGUGUGUGUGCGUGUCAGAGAGAGUAAGUGGAAGUAGGCAAAGCGUGUUUGCUCCGCAUUGCCUGCAGUCGUCAACAACUCAGUUAUGUAACCGGGAUGCUGCAGUAUGUAGGUCAGCCGCACGAGGAGAGGCAGAGAUGGGCUAAGUAUGUAACUGAAGUGUGUGUCUGCGUGUGUGUGUGUGUGUGUGUGUGUGUGUCUGCGUGUGUGUGUGUGUGUGUGUGUGUGUGUGUGUGUGUGUGUGUGUGUGUGUGUGUGUGUGUGUGUGUGUGUGUGUCUGCGUGUGUGUGUGUGUGUGUGUGUGUGUCCUUUAAGAUAACUGUCUUGAACAGAUUUAGAAGGACAUUGCACAGCCAAAGGGUACAUUAUUUUCAACGCCACUUUAAAAUCAAGUUGUUGUUUUUUUUGAGUACAUCUUUUCAAAGGAGAAUACUAGAAAUGAAGCUUGUAUAUAUUUUAGAGUAGUCGGUGUCCAGCUGGUUCACAAAGUGCUUUGUGUAUUAAAGUCCUACUGAAAGCCACUACUAGCCACCACGCAGUCUGAUAGUUUAUAUAUCAAUGAUGAAAUAUUAACAUUGCAACACAUGCCAAUACGGCCAUUUUAUUUUACUAAAUUGCAAUUUUAAAUUUCCCAGGACUUUUUUCUUGAAAACGUCGCGUAAUGAUGACGUGUACGCGUGACGUCACGGGCGGAUAUGAAUAUGACCGCUGCGCACACACACAGCUAAAAGUCGUCUGCUUUAACGGCAUAAUUACACAAUAUUUUGGAGAUCUGUGUUGCUGAAUCUUUUGCAUUUUGUUCAAUUAAUAUUGGAGAAGUCAAAGUAGAAAGAAGGAGGUGGGAAGCUUUAGCCUUUAGCCACACAAACACACGGUGAUUCCUUGUUUAAAAUUCACAGAGUUGAAACUUAACUAUGGAUCACAGCGGACAUGGAUCACGACCACAUGUCAACCAGCAGGUUUCGCUGCUGUCGACUUCUCCGAGACACUGCGCGUCAACACCCGUGGACGUACACUUCCGACUAUCAGCUUGUCCAUUUUGGGGUCCGGGGUUGCUGGAGCCUAUUUCAGCUGCAUUUGGACAGAAGACGGGGUACACCCUGGACAAGUCGCCACCUCAUCGCCAUGCCAACACAGAUAUACGGACAACAUUCACCCACUAGGGCCAAAUAGUGUUGCCAAUCAAACCACUUAAUAUUAAAAGGCGACCUACAACCUACUUUUGCACGAAUCCUUCAGACUUAAACUACUUCUACUCUGUUUACCUGUCUGUUUUUAUACCGUUGUAUACUGUGUAUGUAUACUUUGUGCUUUUAAUACUGUGUAUCCAUACUUUGUGCUUCUAAUGUGUGCUGCUCUCUAAAUCUCAUUAUACUGUGUAUAAUGACA